CUACGUGCCAGCAGCCGCGGUAAUACGUAGGUCCCGAGCGUUGUCCGGAUUUAUUGGGCGUAAAGCGAGCGCAGGCGGUUAGAUAAGUCUGAAGUUAAAGGCUGUGGCUUAACCAUAGUACGCUUUGGAAACUGUUUAACUUGAGUGCAGAAGGGGAGAGUGGAAUUCCAUGUGUAGCGGUGAAAUGCGUAGAUAUAUGGAGGAACACCGGUGGCGAAAGCGGCUCUCUGGUCUGUAACUGACGCUGAGGCUCGAAAGCGUGGGGAGCGAACAGGAUUAGAUACCCUGGUAGUCCACGCCGUAAACGAUGAGUGCUAGGUGUUAGGCCCUUUCCGGGGCUUAGUGCCGCAGCUAACGCAUUAAGCACUCCGCCUGGGGAGUACGACCGCAAGGUUGAAACUCAAAGGAAUUGACGGGGGCCCGCACAAGCGGUGGAGCAUGUGGUUUAAUUCGAAGCAACGCGAAGAACCUUACCAGGUCUUGACAUCCCGAUGCCCGCUCUAGAGAUAGAGUUUUC
rnacentral:rRNA from 1 species